GAGUUGGUGAUAAUCAAAUAAAAUGAAUUUCCAGAAACAUGUUCUCCCUUUUUUUUUCUUUUAACCUGAAGAAACAUGAUUUCUGUUCGGAAAUAAACUGCCAUUCACAAUACACCUGACAAUCUGUUCAGGAGGAAAAAUAUAUUUUAGUAGGGUAUUUGUAGAAUGAAUCUACAUGUCAUAUCAUAAUACAGCACUAAAACAUGUAUAGGUAUAGCUAGUAAUCUAAAGGUGUAAAUUACCAAAGGGCUAAAAUAUGUAGGAAAGACUCACCAAAGGACACGUGAACCGAAAGCAUGAUAAAACAAAGCGAGUACAGUAAAGUUGGCAAACACCCUGCGGAUGCAUGAUUUGGUAGAAACAGAAUAUUACAUUAGACAGGAUGGGUAUGUUGCCUGACUUGCCUAAUAUCUCUGAAAUGUAUUUUCAGCAAGCAAUCAAGUAAAUAAAAUCAUAUUUUGUUCAAAAUGACACCAUAUACAGCUUGCUACCAUAUUCAUGAAGCCUUGAUUUCAGAAUUCAGUAAGUAAUAACACAACAAUGGUUUAGCAAGAAAAAAAUAUUACCAUGCAUGCUAGAAGAGACCAUAUGGACAUGAAAUAUGAUUUUACUGCUAAAUUAUGGUUUGUCUUCAUGGAGCUGCACAGAUCAAUAUAAUUUGUUAACAUAUAAAAUGAAUCAUUUUAGUGUAUGGGGCACGUAGAGUAAGACUUCAACUUCUAGACUGGAUUUCGCAGGCAGGAAAGAAUAUGCAUCUCUCGAACAACACAACACCCAUACGCAUCUCUUGCCCGUGUCAUAUAAAGAAGGAAAAAUCAAAACUACAAAUCCAUGUUAGGGAGCAGGUUUUCAGUACGUAGAAACAUAAGCUAUCAUAUAUAUUUUUUUACAGAGGAGAAGAAGCAUAAUUACCUGAGAACCUGGCAAGUCCAAUAAAAAAUCCAACAAUACGACGAUCUGCAGGGCUGU
rnacentral:sRNA from 1 species